AUGGUACCCUGCUCUCCCAUAUCUCACGCUCUACUCGCUAGUGGCCUCCUCGCCUCUCCAUCGGAAGUUCAACGAGCUCGCGAGAUCCAUUUUUCCGUCAAUUCCGCGGUCGAUCGGAGUUCACAGGACAUCAAUAACUGACACUGUGUCUUUUGAAGCCGUUGUUUUAUUGAGCCUACUGUUGUUAGCAGCCUUUGGGAUUCAACUACCACUGGAAGAUAUCAUCGACUUUAUGGUCCAAUGAGGUUCAAUAUAUGAUGGUUGAACAGGUGUUGUUGCCCCGGCACCGGUUACCUGAAAAUUAUGCCUGCUCCACGCCACAGAGCCCGCUCAAGAAGGCCUCUAUGGAUCAUUGCCAUGAUAUUGUUGGUCUGCACGAUGCUAAUUGUGCUAUAUGUUUAUCCACCCCAGCGUUAUUCAGCAUGCUACUUGAUGUCUUCCCAUGUCUGUAGCCCUUUGAUGGAGUGGCUUCCACCUGUGCGCACUAGGGUUUAUUCUGAUGAUGAACUUGCUGCUCGUGUUGUGAUUAGAGACAUUCUAUCAGCACCAGCUGUGGAGUCAAAGAAUCCUAAAAUCGCUUUUAUGUUCUUAACAGCAGGUUCACUGCCCUUUGAAAAGCUCUGGGAGAAGUUUUUCCUGGGUUAUGAAGGUAGAUUCUCUAUUUAUGUGCAUGCAUCAACAGAAAAACCAGUACAUGUGAGUCCUUUAUUCAUUGGCACGGAUAUCCAUAGUGAAAAGGUGGCCUGGGGAAAAAUUUCAAUGGUUGAAGCAGAAAAGAGGUUAUUGGUAAAUGCACUUCAAGACACUGAUAAUCAGCAUUUUGUGUUGCUCUCUGAUAGUUGUGUGCCACUACACAAUUUUGAUUAUGUAUAUAACUAUCUGACGGGAACAAAUAUCAGCUUUAUUGACUGUUUUGAGGAUCCUGGCCCUCAUGGAACAGGCAGAUAUUCUGAAAAUAUGUUGCCUGAGAUUGAAAAAGAAGAUUUCAGGAAGGGUGCACAGUGGUUCUCAAUCAAGCGGCAACAUGCUUUGCUAAUUCUGGCUGAUGGUGUUUACUAUACAAAAUUCAAGCUUUAUUGCAGGCCUGGAAUGGAAGGACGCAAUUGCUAUUCUGAUGAGCAUUAUCUGCCAACUCUUUUCCAUAUGGUUGAUCCUGGUGGAAUUGCGAAUUGGUCAGUUACCCAUGUAGAUUGGUCUGAAGGAAAAUGGCAUCCAAAGGCUUAUAGGACUCGAGAUGUUACCUUUGAGCUCUUGAAAAAUAUUGCAUCAAUCGAUGAGAGCAUUCAUGUUACAAGUGAUUCGAAGAAAGUAGUUCAGAAGAGACCUUGUCUAUGGAACGGGGUGAAGAGGCCAUGCUAUUUAUUUGCUAGAAAAUUUUAUCCUGAAGCUCUUGACAAUUUGAUGCAAUUGUACUCCAAUUCCAUUUAAGUGACUCAUGGAGAGAUGCCAAUUGUUGGUGGAGCAUAACUCUUCCACAGCUACCCCCAUACCUAUUGGUCCCAAGUUUUAUGCUAGUCUUAGAUGCAGAACCAUGGAAUCUGGCUUAUUGAAGAAGCAGGCGAUCGUUGGAGCAUGAAGCAGAUCUAGUCCCGUUGACUCCGCCAACUGAAUGCCACCACGAUCACCUCUUGGAGCAGUGAGCUAAGAAAUUUUCUUUUCCUUCUUUACUACACUAAUGGUUUUUUGUUAACUUACUCGUAGCCUUCCAAUCAUUCCUUUUGUGGAUUCUGCUCAUUUGAACAGAAAUUUAUCAGUCUCUAUGAUGCGUGUCAGCCACUAAUGGCCGGAGUCGCAGAAACCCAAGUUACUUGGGUAUGUAGAAUCCAGCAGUUUAUGUUUAGUAUUCCUAAUUAGGAAAUGUAUGAAAAAUUCUCUAUUUGAUUUCCCCCAGUUUGAAUGCUCAUCUCAUUCGACCAUCAAAAUCCAAAGAUGGCGCAUCAAAUAAAUACACGUAGACGGUUGUCUCUUUCUUGCCAAAUUCUUUGAUUCGGGUAACAUGAAAAGUGUUGGGGAGAUUAACAACCCCCAUCUGGAAAGUAGUGGGGGUUCUGCCACUAUCCGGCUGGAAUUACUGCUACCAAUUUCCUAUCCGAGGAAUUUAUUCCUAUUCUGCCCAAGCCGACAGUACCAUUGUUUCGAUUCCAGAGAGAAUGCCUUCCAAGGAAGCAAGAGGACACAGCACACAGUGGGUCAUAGCACCACCACAUGCAGGUUUGUUCAUGCUGCAUCUCGAGAUUUUUGUGUGAUUAAGUUACAAGCUGUGACAACACUGGCAGUUUGGGGAAAGCUUUGUGGCUGUCCAUAUUGGUUAUUAGGUAACAAAACGAGAGGCACCAAAAGGAAC